CCUUGGGUUCCUUCACCUCUAGGAAAUCUCGGGGCUUGGCUCAAUGGAGAAGCGCUUCUCGGGUCAAGCUGCCUCUCCAUCCCCGGCAUCCAGCGGAGCUGGCAUCCGAAUACAUUUCCUUCUGCUCUGCAAAGAGUCGUAGUGAACUUCCCAACCCGAGAGACUGAUCAUCUAUCCUGCUUUGCAGGAAAGGAAAUCUCUCAAACCCUCGACACCCGCCACCCCUCUCCGAAGAGUGCCACCGCGGAGGUGCUCAGAACCGGAAGGGGACGCUUUGGGAAUGACCAUGCUCUACGGAGGGACAGAGCCUGCCCCCAGCUUCUCCACACAGAGACUCCUCUACUAAAGCUCCAAAAAAAUUAAAAAG
rnacentral:lncRNA from 1 species